UCUUACGACCUGAACCCGUUUGCCCCACUACAACAAUUCUAUAUAGAUAUAAAACCCAGCUGCAACUGAGAUCAGGUCUCAGUGAUCGAGUGAAAAUGCAGCCGUCUAUGAUAUUUAUGCUACUUGGUGGGGUCACCAUCACCAGUUCGUGUGCCAUCCCAAAUGCUGAUCAAACAAAGAAUUUCAAUGGAAACCAACAGCAGACAAAGUUACCAGAAGUCUCUAUAGAUCAUCCGAAUCCGGAAUCAAAGUCUCAGUUGAAUGCAGAGGAAGAUAUCGAACUCUUUCGAAUGGUACCACAAAGUACCACGAUUCCUAGAGAAGAUCUUGCGCCCACGCGCUCCACCAUUUCAAAUAGGGAGCAAAAGAAGACUUCUAAUGGAAAUAAUGGCGAGAAAAACAUACCAGAAGUCUCUACAGAGAUCACAAUAUCGGAACCUAAGACCCAGUUGAAUGCAGAGGAAGAUAUCGAACUCUUUCGAAUGGUACCACAGCGUACAACCGUUCCUAUAGAAGACCUUGCCUCUGAAAAGAUUGUGCCUUUGCCCACACGUUCUCCAACGCCUCGAACUUACACCAUUUUAAAUGGUGAACAAAAAAAGACUUCUAAUGGAGCUACAGAGAUCACAAUAUCGGAACCUAAGAUCCAGUUGAAUGCAGAGGAAGAUAUUGAACUCUUUCGAAUGGUACCACAAAGUACCACGAUUCCUAGAGAAGAUCUUGGCUCUGAAAAGGUUGUGCCUUUGCCCACCCGUUCUCCAACGCCUCAAACUUAUACCAUUCUAAAUGGUGAACAAAAGAAGACUUCUUCUGAGGAGAAUAAGUUACCAGAAGUUGCUACAUCGGAACCUAAGACCCAGUUGAAUGCAGAGGAAGAUAUCGAACUCUUUCGAAGCACUACGAUUCCUAAAGUAGAAAAGAUUGUGCCUUUACCUACUCGUUCACCCACUCCAGGGACUGCGAUGAUCACCUCCACUUCUCAUGAAGAAAACCAAGGGACACAGACCACAGAAGUUAUGCCAAUAAAUAUUAUGCCUUUACCAAUGCCUGGCAAUGUUUCGGUCAAGUGUGAGGUCGAGCCAUAUAGUUUUGGACCUCGUUUGAGUGCACAACUUUUGAAAAUACUCACAAGAUUGGGCUAAGAAAACAAAAUGUAGUUUAUAUUUAAAAAGAAUAAAGCAUCAAACCCAACGUAAUAUCCCAAAAAUGUAUAGAAUUCCCUGAUAUUUCCCCCACACACAGAGCUGUGAUGACACAGCACCCCGCCAUAGAUCCACUCUCCAAUCAACAGCAAUUACUGUCAAUCAACAUGAUCAUGAUCGUCACGUCGGUGUGUGGGGCCGAUGCAAUUAUUAAAUCUAGUCAAUAAUCAUAGCCAGACUCGACAGAUCUCGCUAUAUCUAUCCUCUAACGGAGGAGAGUAAAUGGUGCGGAGGAAAACUCUCAAUUUGCAAUGCUAUCGACCGGUUAAACCUGUUCCGUAGUGCUCUAUAGAUUGCCGCAAAUAAAUAAAUAUCGUAUACGAGACAGAAAUUUCAUUCAUUCAGUGCUUUUUAGCAUCGGGAACUAGAAUGAUCAGAACCACUGCAUGUCUGUGCGUGUCAUUGUUAUUGAUCUGUCUGUCUAUCGAAAGGAAUGAUGGCGCCACAAAAGUGCUCUACGAAUUUCACAUUCGUGAGAGCACAGGCAAUCGGGAGGAAAAGGGUGAGCUCAAAGGUAACUCAACUUCCGGUGAAAAUGAAUCCCGGGCGGAACCCGAACUGAUCAUCACAGGUAAACGCACUUCCUCUCUGAUUCUGCCCGGCUGUGAUCCCACCACUGGGGACUAUGUCUACAAGGAGGAUGCCACCUAUGUGGCGGAUAACAGCGGCUACCAUGUCAAGUACAACUUCAGCAUAGAACCCCUCGAGCUGGGCACACGUCUCAAUGCGAAAACACUCAAAGUAUCCGUCGGUUAGCCAUAGGAUUAGCAUUAGAAGAACCUGAACUAAAUAUUUAUUAUAAAUCGCCCACGCAGACAGAGCCCACAAAUGCACAGAGAAACUGGGAAUGGAAUGUUUCCCACAUUCUUCUGUAAGAAACAGAAGACACCAAGUCGAAGCCGGUUAACCGCUGUUCUCAGGCACAAAACCAAGCCCUCCUCCCGCCCAACCGACCGUAGGGCGCUUCCGAUGUUAGACUAAUAUUCGAGGGAAAUUACUAUAAACUAAAGUUGCCAGAUUGCAAUAAAUUAACAAAAUUGUAGCCCAUUCAAAAGUUUUUCUCCGCCACUUCUGCAGACCUCUUUUUUGUGUUAACAAGUUCUUUCCAAACUGUUAUAAACAGCUGUUUAGCCACUGGCAGCGUUGCCACCUGAUUUCUUUGCAAAGUGAAGUUGGUUGCGACUCACUUUUCUGUGUAAAAUGUCAGCCUCUUGAGGAAAUAAUUUUGAAAAAAGGACCAUCGUAUAUACAAUGUUUGU